UGCUUUCUUGCCAUGUGGGUUUUGCAUUUGAGAUUCUGUCGCUGUGAUUAAUUUUUGGCAGCUUGGGUGCAGUGGUGCAAGCUGAAAACACAUGGACAUAACAUCACCAUAUACAGUUUUUGAUGUUACAAAUUUGAGAAUGGUCAAUGUGAGGUCUGCAGUGCUUUACUGAGCGUGUGAUACUGGUUGGACGGCCUGUAGGAUAUAUCAUGACCCAGUUACUCAAGAUGAUCCACAGACUCCAGCCUCAUUCCCAACUUCUCAAAUACCAAUGCUUUGUCAGUAGCCCUCAGUGUCAGACAUCAAGGCACCCGUUAGUGGCUGUAUAGUGUGAGUGGGCAGAAGUUUGCUGCAGAGAUCAGCCUCUCAUUGGGCGGAAUGAGCCACCCGCUGAAGUCCCGCCCUACCACCUCUGGUUGUGUAGCAGUU